GGCCUCGUAGCUCAGCUGGUAGAGCAUGCGCGUACAAAGCGUAGGCGGUGUCCAUGCGGGGUUCGAAUCCCACCGAGGCUA
rfam:Echinostoma caproni strain Egypt genome assembly, scaffold: ECPE_contig0005274